GCCACGGCUAACUACGUGCCAGCAGCCGCGGUAAUACGUAGGGUGCGAGCGUUAAUCGGAAUUACUGGGCGUAAAGCGUGCGCAGGCGGUUUUUAAGACAGGCGUGAAAUCCCCGGGCUUAACCUGGGAACUGCGCUUGUGACUGGAAGGCUAGAGUACGGCAGAGGGGGGUGGAAUUCCACGUGUAGCAGUGAAAUGCGUAGAGAUGUGGAGGAACACCAAUGGCGAAGGCAGCCCCCUGGGCCGAUACUGACGCUCAUGCACGAAAGCGUGGGUAGCAAACAGGAUUAGAUACCCUGGUAGUCCACGCCCUAAACGAUGUCAACUAGGUGUUGGGUGGGUAAAACCAUUUAGUACCGUAGCUAACGCGUGAAGUUGACCGCCUGGGGAGUACGGCCGCA
rnacentral:rRNA from 1 species